AACCUUAUGGACCUGCGGGCGUAUACCUGCGGAAGGAUCAUUACCAAUUAUAUAUGUUAGUUUGCCUGUGGCUUCGGUCACUGGUAUUAACUACUAUGUAAACGUUGAACUAGAUCAAUUGGUGUGGAUUGCUUGGGAAUGGACGAAGCGACAAGCCUCUUCCGGACAGGCAAGCCCCACACUGAUAACCUUUUUCAUAUCAUUUACUCGUAUAUACUACCACAACAAAAAAAAACAAAA
rnacentral:misc_RNA from 1 species